rnacentral:lncRNA from 1 species
UUCUCUCCCUCUUCUGCAGGAUUCCCCAAGUUCUGCCUAAUGUUUGGCUGUGGGUCUACAUCGGUUUCCAUCACUUUCUGGAUAAUGCUUCGAGGAUGGCAAUUUGGAUAAGCACCAAGCUGGUCACAGGAGAUGGCCAGUUCUGCUACUUAUCUGCUUUCGGAAAAGGAAACCUGGAACUGGGGGAGCCGUCUGAAUUCUUGCCUGCAGUCUGAUCUAUUUGAAGUUGGCUGGGAGACCCAGAAAUCCAAUCACCAGUGCAUCCCAGGCCCUUCUCUUGACCUCGGCGGAGCACAGAGGGGGAAAGCAGAUGAGAGGAGCUGGCUUCUUUCACAAGAAUCUGCCUGGCUGGGAGCAGACAUUCCCUUGGAUUUGGGGAGGGGCAUUUGAAGGCCUGUGCAUAUGGCACGGGAUGGAAUCCAAUAAAAAGCAAGGAGCUGGGUGGGGGUCAUAAGCCAGACUGGUGUCAGCCGCUCCCUGGGGAGCACAGGCAGGGAGUUCCCACGCAGUGUUGAUUUUCCUCCGCCCUUCUCAGCUAUAAAGUAAAAGAUAUUGAAGUCGAUCCUCUGGGGUUUGUGUGCCUAUAUGUGUUCUUACACAGUUUCCCAAAUACACCGUUAUAAAUCAGACUUUCUGAUUCUUUGUGUGUGUCUGUCUCUGUGUGUAUCUGUCUCUGUGUCUCCUUCCCU